rnacentral:rRNA from 1 species
UCCGUAGGCGGUCUUUUAAGUCAGUGGUGAGAUCCCAGAGCUCAACUCUGGAACUGCCAUUGAAACUGAAAGACUUGAAUAUGGUUGAGGUAGGCGGAAUACGUUAUGUAGCGGUGAAAUGCAUAGAUAUAACGUAGAACACCAAUUGCGAAGGCAGCUUACUAAACCAUUAUUGACGCUGAUGGACGAAAGCGUGGGGAGCGAACAGGAUUAGAUACCCUGGUAGUCC